AUCUUCUCCGUUUCUUUUCGGAACCCAAAUAAAGGAUUCCUUAACAACCCCUUUUUUCUUGCUUUUCGCAAUUCGUUCCUGAAUAGCUUUGAUUGCUUCAGAGAAAGGUGUUGGAGAAGCAUCAUCAACAUCAACUUCAUGUUCCACAUCAUCAUCAAUUUCAUGUCCCACAUGAUGAUCGUCUUCAUUCACAGAAACAGUGUGAAUUUGUGAUGCAUAUCUCUUAGCAGCGUCUUUGUUAUAUUUCCUGUACCGAUUUCUACGAAUUGACACGUUGGUCUGAAUCUCAUCAUCAGCACCAUCGCUAUCAUUAGUUU
rnacentral:lncRNA from 1 species